rnacentral:rRNA from 1 species
UACGUAGGGUGCGAGCGUUAUUCGGAAUUACUGGGCGUAAAGUGUGCGCAGGCGGCUUCGCAAGUCGAGGGUGAAAUCCCCGAGCUUAACUUGGGAAUUGCGCUCGAAACUACGGAGCUGGAGUGUGGCAGAGGAAGGUGGAAUUCCACGUGUAGCGGUGAAAUGCGUAGAGAUCCGGAGGAACACCAGUGGCGAAGGCGGCUCGCUGGGCUAUAACUGACGCUGAGGCGCGAAAGCGUGGGGAGCGAACAGG